rnacentral:rRNA from 1 species
AAUAUUGGACAAUGGGGGCAACCCUGAUCCAGCCAUGCCGCGUGUGUGAAGAAGGUCNNNGGAUUNUNAAGCACUUUAAGUUGNGGNNAAGGGGUUUAGGUUAAGACCCUGACGUUUUUACGUUAACAGCAGAAUAAGCACCGGAUAACUCUGCGCCAGCAGCCGCGGUAAUACGGAGGGUGCAAGCGUUAAUCGGAAUUACUGGGCGUAAAACGAGCGUAGGUGGUUCAGUAAGAUGGGUGUGAAAUCCCCGGGCUUAACCUGGGAACUGCUUUCAUAACUGCUGAGCUAGAGUACGGUAGAGGGUAGUGUAAUUUCCUGUGUAGCGGUGAAAUGCGUAGAUAUAGGAAGGAACACCAGUGGCGAAGGCGACUACCUGGACUGAUACUGACACUGAGGUGCGAAAGCGUGGGGAGCAAAC